ACCGUAGCUCAGUGGUAGAGCACACCCUUGGUAAGGGUGAGGUCAAGGGUUCAAGUCCCUUCGGU
rnacentral:tRNA from 1 species